GUUGAAGGAGUCCGACACCAGCGCGAUGGAGUUGCCCAUGUAUCCCGCCACGAUCUCCGCCACGAAAAAGAUCACGGUGAUGACGAGCAUCAGAAUCAGCCGACACGUUUUGCCGCUGUACCGUCCCAUGCUCGCGCGUCGGUGUGAUCUGUGGAAACUCAAACCCCACAGGAGGAUCUGACACUGAAAACACACUGGGACCUUCAACACCAGGAAAAGGUUUUAAACUACACCAGCAUUGUUCUGUUUUACAGUGUACGUGUGCAGGGCUUGAAUGACAGUGACUGUAACCUGAAACUGUUGUGUCACCUGAAGUUAGCUGAUUGUGUAAAUCUGCCUGUCUCUGAUCUUUAAAGGGGUCAUGAGGAAUCACAUUUUCCUUCAUAUUUUGACAUGUAAGUGUUCAUUGAAUCAUAAAAACAUUCUGUAAGUUUCAGAA